GAGAAUAUUUUGGUCACUCUUGUAAAAUUGUGUAAUUGUAUUGUAUUGAUAAAAUUAUUUUAGAGCAGGAGGAGGAAAUAAAGAAAUCAUAAUCCUCAUCUUUUCAUCGAUUGAGCUAUGAUCAAUUUAGAGGACUAAAUUUUCUUUUAAGGGGGGGAGAGUGUAAUAUCCCUCACUUUUAAAAAUUAUUAAUAAAGAUUUAUUUAUAAAUUGGAGGACCUAUAUGUAAAUAUAAAAAUUUCAAGGACUAAACUGUUAAGUUACCAAAAAAAAAUAAAAAAUUUCGGUUUUAUCCCACCGCCUCCCACGCUCUCUCUGUUUCUCGAGAGAGGAGCGGUGGGGCGUAGGGAGAAGAAGAAGAGAAGUAGAGGGAGAAGAGAAGAAGAGGGAAAAGAAGAGAGGAAGAAGAGGGAGAAGAGAAUAAAAGAAGAAGAAGAAGAGAGGGAAGAGGGAGAGGAAAGAGAGAUAGCUGCAGCAGCUAGGGUUGCAGCACCUCUGUUUCGUGUUGGAGGAAACAGAGGAAUCCAUGUGGGGCGUCGGGGAGUAGAAGGGAAGAAGAGGAGAAGAAGAGGAGAAGAAGAGAAGCAGAGGAAGAGAAGCAAAAGAAGAAGAAGAAGAAGAAAAGAGGAGGUGGCUGCGGCAAGGGCUGCAGCGAGGAGCUGUGGGGCGUUGGGGAGGAGAAAGGAAGAAGAGGAGAAGAAGAAAAGAAGAAGAGGGAAAAGAAGAGAGGAGGAAGAAGAGGGAGAAGAGAAGAAUAGAAGAAGAAGAAAAAGAGAGGGAAGUGGGAGAGGAGCGAGAGGUGGCAGCAGCUAGGGCUGCAGCACCUCUGUUUCCUGCAGGUGGAAACAGAGGAGAGGUGUGGGGCAUUCGAAGAGGAGAAGAAGAAGAAGAGGAAGAGAAGAAGAAGAGGAAGUAGGA
rnacentral:lncRNA from 1 species